CUUCCCAGAAAGCUCCACGGACGUCUUAGGUUUCCACAGAGCACAUCUCAGAUCAUCAACCCAGGACAGCCCCUCUCUGGGGACCAGAGGAGCAGUACUAAGGUCUCACCUUGUUGGUGGCCUACCUUCCAGACUACCCUGCCUGUGGGAAGUCCUGCCUGUAGGCUUGUCUGGGGCUGGGUCUGGGGAAGUCAGUUAUAAACCCAAGGUGAGGCCACCCAUGUGUGUGUGGAAAAAAACAGGAAAGGGGUGAGAGUGUGGAUCCCAGGACACUCUUCACAGUGAGCUCUGGGCUCAAGUAAUGGUUCCACCACUUACUAAUUAUGUGGCCUUAGGUUUCAUAUGUUAAUUAGUAAUAAUAACAGCCUUCACUUUGUUUAUUUUUUUAUUCGGCUUUGUGAGGAAGAUUGUUGCUGAGCUAACAUCUGUGCCAAUCUUCCUCCAUUUUGUAUGUGGGACACCACCACAGCAUGGCUUGAAGAGUGAUGUGUGUGUCUGCACCCGGGGUCUGAACCUGUGAACCCUGGGCUGCCAAAGCAGAAAAGGCGAAAGUAACCACUAUGCCACCAGGCAGGCCCCUAGCCCCGACUUUAAAAGGUUGUUUGGGGGAUUACAGGAAAUAGCACAUGUGAAGAGCUUGGCUGUCUCAGUAAAUUCCUUCUGCAACCUGAUCCCUUUCUCUGGGGAAGAGGUUUGUACUUGCCAUGGCCUCCUCCUGCCACACACUCCCUCCCUGUCCUUGGCCUCUGAGGUGACCUGACAGAGAUGACCUGGGAGCUUGUUGUCACGCUCAGUCCUUCCCAUCUUUCCAAUAAAAGUGAUGUGUCAACAGUGUUCUGCCACAACCAGUACUUUCCGAAAGCAUCUGCUCGGCGAGUUCAGUUCAUGAUGUGCUUACCUUUCAUGGCAAUGCAUGUUUCAAUUAUUGGGUAAAAGUCACUGUCGAGCAAAACUGCGAUGUAAUUAAGGAGAAGGCAUUCAUGCCAAACGAGCCUAUAAAGCAAUAAACAGCUUUUGAGGCUGGUUCA
rnacentral:lncRNA from 1 species